UGGCUCAAUGGUAGAGUGUUUGACUCAAUAACGAAAGGUCGUGGGUUUGAAUCCCAU
rnacentral:tRNA from 1 species